rnacentral:rRNA from 1 species
UGAGGAAUAUUGGACAAUGGGUGAGAGCCUGAUCCAGCCAUCCCGCGUGAAGGAUGACGGUCCUACGGAUUGUAAACUUCUUUUGUAUAGGGAUAAACCAUUCUACGUGUAGAAUGCUGAAGGUACUAUACGAAUAAGCACCGGCUAACUCCGUGCCAGCAGCCGCGGUAAUACGGAGGGUGCAAGCGUUAUCCGGAUUUAUUGGGUUUAAAGGGUCCGCAGGCGGGCCGAUAAGUCAGUGGUGAAAUCUCAUAGCUUAACUAUGAAACUGCCGUUGAUACUGUCGGUCUUGAGUAAAUUAGAGGUAGCUGGAAUAAGUAGUGUAGCGGUGAAAUGCAUAGAUAUUACUUAGAACACCAAUUGCGAAGGCAGGUUACCAUGAUUUAACUGACGCUGAGGGACGAAAGCGUGGGGAGCGAACA